rnacentral:rRNA from 1 species
AUUGAACGCUGGCGGAAUGCUUUACACAUGCAAGUCGAGCGGCAGCGCGGCCUUCGGGCUGGCGGCGAGCGGCGAACGGGUGAGUAAUGCAUCGGAACAUGCCCAGUCGUGGGGGAUAACACUUCGAAAGAAGUGCUAAUACCGCAUACGUCCUGAGGGGGAAAGCGGGGGAUCGCAAGACCUCGCGCGAUUGGAGUGGCCGAUGUCAGAUUAGCUAGUUGGUGGGGUAAAGGCCUACCAAGGCGACGAUCUGUAGCUGGUCUGAGAGGAUGAUCAGCCACACUGGGACUGAGACACGGCCCAGACUCCUACGGGAGGCAGCAGUGGGGAAUUUUGGACAAUGGGGGCAACCCUGAUCCAGCCAUGCCGCGUGAGUGAAGAAGGCCUUCGGGUUGUAAAGCUCUUUCGGCAGGAACGAAACGGUGGGCUCUAACAUAGUCCGCUAAUGACGGUACCUGAAGAAGAAGCACCGGCUAACUACGUG